rnacentral:sRNA from 1 species
AUUUACUCCAGUAAACUCCGGUUCCUGCGCUCCGGCGACGCCCGACCUACCUUCGCUCGCUGCGUUCUGGUGGCU